GGGGGGGGGGGAGUCCUCUCUAUGCAACCACAAUCGGGAAUUUAAAUAUGAUUCUCAUUUUUGUCACCAAACUUUGAAAUUGGUUGAAGUAGACAGAAUAUAUUAGUAUGAAAGCUUCCUUCCUAAGUUUUUCCUGGUCAAGCUAGGAGAAACUCUAGUCUGGGACAGAAGCUGGAGGACACAGCUCACUCUUACCUACCUGCUAAUGUUGUAGGCUACCUAGCGCUGGGCAUAAAUAAAUACAUUAAUUCUAAGCUAAUUGAUCCUGUCCCAUUGGAAGACACUAUGACUCCCAUUAUGUAUUUCUCAUUUAAAUUUGUUCUCAAAAUAAUAUGAACAUAGCUUUCAAUCACAUGUGAUUUAUAUCAAUCUGAAUAUUGGUAUGUUUAUACCAACCACAUGAGAUUUAUACCAAUCUCAAUGUUGACA
rnacentral:lncRNA from 1 species